UAACGCGUAAAGAACUUGCCUCACAGCUAGGGACAACAUUUGGAAACGAAUGCUAAUACCUGAUAUUAUGAUAAUAGGGCAUCCUAUAAUUAUGAAAGCUAAAAGCGCUGAGAGAGAGCUUUGCGUCCCAUUAGCUAGUUGGAGAGGUAACGGCUCACCAAGGCGAUGAUGGGUAGCCGGCCUGAGAGGGUGAUCGGCCACAAGGGGACUGAGACACGGCCCUU
rnacentral:rRNA from 1 species